AUAUAUUUUAACCUAAAAGUUAAACUCAUCUCAACCUAAAAAAGUUAAACACAUCUCAGUGAGACCCACAAAGUAUUACUAUUCACAACUCAACUCAACUCGUCACAUCUCAACAUCAAAACGUUGCCUUAAUGUUUUGGUUAUUAGUAUUAGAAAGAAAGAACGAAAAUAAAUUGGUUGGAUUAAAAUCUCUUAAAACUUGUGUCUGAACUCUACGGUUUAGAGUGGGAUAAAGUUAAGACACAUAUAUUGAAUCCUGCAGUAUUUAUCGAGUAUUUACUUAGUAAAGUUCACACAGACAACACUCUAGAUCCUUGUUGCCAACAA